rfam:Nitrosomonas europaea ATCC 19718, complete genome
UAAUCCCUGCGGUGUUUGUCAAGGUUUGUAUUCUUUGAACCAAUUCGUUGUAUCUGGCUGCCAGUCAAUGGUCGCUGUUGUGCGUACUCUCUCGUGGAGCAUGCCUGAUGCGGCCGACAGGCGGCCACUCUUGAACCUGUGGUUCAAGAUAACAACCUGACGGCAUUCGCGGGGACCCC